ACGCUCGACACCUACGAGGCAGCAGUGGGGAAUAUUGCACAAUGGGGGAAACCCUGAUGCAGCGACGCCGCGUGGAGGAAGAAGGUCUUCGGAUUGUAAACUCCUGUUGUUGGGGAAAAAGAGGAUGGUACCCAACAAGGAAGUGACGGCUAACUACGUGCCAGGAGCCGCGGUAAUCUGAGCGGGCUGGCAAGGC
rnacentral:rRNA from 1 species